rnacentral:rRNA from 1 species
UACGAACGCUGGCGGCGUGCUUAACACAUGCAAGUCGAACGGAAAGGCCCUGCUUUUGUGGGGUGCUCGAGUGGCGAACGGGUGAGUAACACGUGAGUAACCUGCCCUUGACUUUGGGAUAACUUCAGGAAACUGGGGCUAAUACCGGAUAGGAGCUCCUGCUGCAUGGUGGGGGUUGGAAAGUUUCGGCGGUUGGGGAUGGACUCGCGGCUUAUCAGCUUGUUGGUGGGGUAGUGGCUUACCAAGGCUUUGACGGGUAGCCGGCCUGAGAGGGUGACCGGCCACAUUGGGACUAAGAUACGGACCAGACUGCUACGGGAGGCAGCAGGGGAGAAUAUUGCACAAUGGGCGGAAGCCUGAUGCAGCAACGCCGCGUGCGGGAUGACGGCCUUCGGGUUGUAAACCGCUUUCGCAUGUGACGAAGCGUGAGUGACGGUAAUGGGUAAAGAAGCACCGGCUAACUACGUG